rnacentral:rRNA from 1 species
GACAGAGGGUGCAAACGUUGUUCGGAAUUACUGGGCGUAAAGCGCACGUAGGCGGCUUGGUAAGUGCGGUGUGAAAGCCCCCGGCCUAACCGGGGAACUGCAUCGCAGACUGCCAGGCUCGAGAGCGGGAGGGGAGACUGGAACUCCUGGUGGAGCGGUGAAAUGCGUAGAUAUCAGGAGGAACACCGGUGGUGAAAACGAGUCUCUGGUCCGCUUCUGACGCUCAGGUGCGAAAGCUAGGGGAGCAAACGGG